rnacentral:rRNA from 1 species
UACGGAGGAUGCAAGCGUUAUCCGGAUUCAUUGGGUUUAAAGGGUGCGUAGGCGGCCUUUUAAGUCAGAUGUGAAAGACCACGGCUUAACCGUGGGGUUGCAUUUGAAACUGGAGGGCUUGAGUAUCGGAGAGGGUAGUGGAAUUCCCAGUGUAGCGGUGGAAUGCGUAGAUAUUGGGAGGAACACCAGUGGCGAAGGCGACUACCUGGACGAAAACUGACGCUGAGGCACGAAAGCUAGGGGAGCAAACAGGAUUAGAUACCCUGGUAGUCCCUGAG